GGGACACAGACAGUAAUGGCCGAACCAUUUUGUACACACCGGUCUUACUGACCUGUGUACUAACGCGAAAGGAAUUGUGGGUAGCACUUCUUUUACAAGUGAAAAGCGAAAGGUCAGAACCAUUUUGGCGGAAGCAUAAUUCCCCAAACCAGGGGAAUGUGAUGCGUCUAAGAAUAGAGGUGACAAUAACGUAGUGACGUCACCAUCUAUGUAUAGAAUGAUGGCCGAACAGUUGUCAUUCAAGUACGUCGUUGAGGAAUGCUUAUCUGAGGAUCCGAAAGAGGCUGGCUCAGAUGACGAGGAAGCUAACUUGGAAUGUGAUGAAAUUAAUAAGAGAUUUGUAUUGUAUUCUAAAGAUUGAAUAAAUGAAUGCUUCUUU